rnacentral:sRNA from 20 species
GUCAAUCACCCCGACUGAAGUCGGAGGCAUGUAGGGUAACCUACACGCCCACGGCUUUAGCCGUCGAUUGACCAGGGUAGCGCCGGAGGGGCGGCUUUACGCCGUCCCGCUUGCACGGCGGAGCUGAAACGCUUCGUGGGAGGGGGCACCCGUUGACCACGCACCGCGCGCGGAAGGUUUACCGACCCACUCCGGGAUGCUUCUCCAGUCCCGGACCCUGGA